rnacentral:rRNA from 1 species
UACGUAGGGUGCGAGCGUUAAUCGGAAUUACUAGGCGUAAAGCGUGCGCAGGCGGUCCGCAAAGUCUGAUGUGAAAGCCCCGGGCUCAACCUGGGAACUGCAUUGGAAACUAACGGGCUCGAGUGUGGCAGAGGGGGGUGGAAUUCCACGUGUAGCAGUGAAAUGCGUAGAGAUGUGGAGGAACACCGAUGGCGAAGGCAGCCCCCUGGGCUAACACUGACGCUCAGGCACGAAAGCGUGGGGAGCAAGCAGG